rnacentral:rRNA from 1 species
GACGAACGCUGGCGGCGUGCCUAAUACAUGCAAGUCGAACGAGAGCAACCGGUGCUUGCACUGGUCAAUCUAGUGGCGAACGGGUGAGUAACACGUGGGUAACCUGCCCAUCAGAGGGGGAUAACAUCCGGAAACGGAUGCUAAAACCGCAUAGGUCUUCGAACCGCAUGGUUUGAAGAGGUAUAUAGGCGCUAGCUUCUGCUGAUGGAUGGACCCGCGGUGCAUUUGCUAGUUGGUGAGGUAACGGCUCACCAAGGCAGUGAUGCAUAGCCGACCUGAGAGGGUGAUCGGCAACAUGGGGACUGAGACACGGACCAAACUCCUACGAGAGGGAGCAGUAGGGAAUCUUCCGCAAAGGACGCAAGUCUGACGGAGCAACGCCGCGUGAGUGAAGAAGGUUUUCGGAUCGUAAAACUCUGUUGUUAGGGAAGAACAAGUGCUAGAGUAACUGUUAGCGCCUUGACGGUAUCUAACCAGAAAGCCACGGCUAACUACGUG